GGCAACUCCGUCGCCAUCCAUCUUGGGCCGGUGAGAGGAGGAGAGAAACUCACCCCGGGAGCUUCGUGAGUGUUAUGACCAUGGCAGAUUGCUUUAAAAUCCUGAUUGACGACCUUCUUGGGUUUGGACACGGUCUGCUCGGGCCAGGAGUCCAGAGUAAAGCUCAGUAGGCAUCGCGCCCAUAGGCCAGUCACUUCACUCAGUGGCUGCUACCGCCGACUCGGAAGAAAAGAACCGCCAGCCUGGAUCGGAGGCGGGCACAACGAGGAGGAGUUCGACCAGCCCUGAUAGCCAGAACGGUACCUCGUCAGCCCAGGGCCUAUUCCAGCCCCGGCGGCUCCGCAGACACACGGAGCGCGGCGCAAACACAGGAGCAACGGAGGCGCGCGACCGACCCGGGUUUUU